rnacentral:lncRNA from 1 species
CGAAGCCUUGCCGAAGCGUUCAGUGGGAAGGAGGGCAUUCAUGUCUUGGUUUCCUGCAGGGAGAGAGAGGAGAAGUCGGGCAGAAGGGUUCAGCAGGUUCUAAAGGUCCACAGGGGAUUCAAGGCCCUCAGGGAGACCCAGGAGCCAGUGGACGUGAUGGCCCAAAGGGAAGCUCUGGGGAUCGAGGUACAGAUGGCUCUCCUGGACUGCCAGGCCAAAAGGGCACACCAGGAGAGACAGGUUUCCCCGGGUUACCGGGCACCAAUGGACUACCAGGGUUCAAAGGUCACAAGGUAAGGACAUCAGCAUCUCAAAACCAAUGGAGAGAAGGAGCCGUAUUUGGCUUUCUCAUCCAAUGGGCUUUGAAAAGCAUAUAAGGAGAUAUGCUGUGGGUAAUAUCCAAUUGAAAGUCUGUCUCAAUUCAACGAUAUGGUCUGAGGAGGGGACCCUCUU